GGAGAUACUAUUCAUACUCUAGGAGACGAGUUUGUGAAACCAUUGGCAUGGAUACACUGAAGUUCCUUUGGCAUCCGUAUAAUCAAAAUUACGAAGAUAUAAAUCCCGCUCAUAUUCGACGAUCAUGUUGUGCAUAAUUAUACAUGCUCUCAGUAUAUCCCCAAUUAUAUCUUUACACCACAUGUGUGACGGUCCAUUAACGAUCGCAAAUCGUGCUUGGAGUACCCUAAAUGAUCUCUCAACAUCUUCUCUAGCAGCCUCUUGCAUCUUAGCGAAUAACUUGUGUUUCGGCCCUUGAGGUAAUGGGAUUGACUUGGAAGUAUGGAUCAUGAUUCAUGACACCUUGAACUAUACUAAGAGAAAGGCUUCUUCGCAUAUGGUAUCUACGUCGGAACAUGUCUUCUAGAUAUGUUGGGUUCGUAAGAAAGUAAUCAUUGUACAAGCGGUGGUGAGCAUCUUCACGGCCCCUUUCAAGCACUCACCUAGGCCUUCUAGGACGUCUUGAUGAAGAUGCUUCAUCUUCUUGUUGUUGUUGCACUUGCACGUACUGUUUCACUUGCUUUGAGUAGGUAUCAUCGAAGAACCACUAGACAAUAUUAGUUAAAGAGAAUGGGUUAUCAACAUCGGAAAUUGUAGGAGGUGAUGAAGAUGAAGAUGAAGAAGAUGAAGGGUUCAUCUCCAUAUCAGACAUUUUGCUAAUUUUGACUUGAGAAGGAAGUUUGUAGCUAUAUUUAUUGAUGACAAUUUGUUGAGAUAAGGU
rnacentral:lncRNA from 1 species